AUCUCUCUAUCUCCCCUGGUUUCUAUUCAUCUCUCCCUGGUCUCUAUUCAUCUCUCCCUGGACUCUAUCCAUCUCUCCCUGGUCUCUAUCCAUCUCUCCCCUUCUCCCUGGCCAAACGAGGAGGUAGGAGAGGAGGAGGUAGGAGAGGAGGAGGUAGGAGAGGAGGAGGUAGGAGAGGAGGAGGAGGAGGUAGGAGAGGAGGAGGAGGUAGGAGAGGAGAAGAGAGGCUACUAAUGAAGGACGAGGUAGGCUCCAGGUCCUAUAUUCACAAAGCGUUUCACAGUAGGAGUGCUGAUCUCGGAUCAGAUCCUCUCUGUCCAUGUAGUUCUUAUUCACUACAAUCUAAAAGGCUACACUGAUCCUAGAUCAGCACUCCUACUCGGUUGCUUUAUGAAUACAGACCUAUAAAUGAUAGAAAAGCAUCUAAGAUGACAGCUUUUUAAUAUGGCCCAUGUUAAACAACAACAUUAAAAACAACUCUACUUAAUGCUUGUCUUUACAAAUCCUCCUGUACCAGUCCUGCACCAAUCAUGUACCAAUCCUGUACCAGUCCUGCACCAAUCAUGGAUGGAAUGGAUCCUCUGUGCCAUAAUAACAGAGAGAGAGAGAGAGAGACACACGGGUCUGUCGGGUCGAUAGAACCACUAAAGACAACAUUAAAGAGAGAUGUCAAACAUUUUUUUUUUACAACUUCAUAUUCAUCAUCUCCAUCACCACCUCAACAUCAACGUGUGAGAAAACAGCGCGUUUUUGUUGUUGUUGUUGUUGUAAACAAUAUAAUUACGAGCGUUGCCAAUGACAUGCAAUGGCGUCUCCAUAAUUGUUUAAAACCACAUGAUGCACACUGAUGAUGUCAUUGGAAACAUUGUCUUCUUCUUCUUCUUUUUUUAAAGAAGAAAUGCUUCAUUUACACGUGUUGAUGUUGGUGCUGCAUGAUGAAUAUAAAUAUUUGGAAACAUUAAUACAUUUUUAUUUUUUUUAUUUAUUUUAUGUUUUAUUUAACUGACUUGCCUAGUUAAAUAAAGGUUAAGAACAAAUUCUUAUUUACAAUGGACGGCCUAGGAACGGUGGGUUAACUGCCUUGUUCAGGGGCAGAAUGAUAGAUUUUUACCUUGUCAGUUCGGGGAUUUGAACUUGCAACCUUCAGGUUACUGGCCCAAGCACUCUAACCACUAGGCUACCCUGCCGAUUAGUCUAUCUAUUAUAUAUUUACAUAAUAUGCUGGUAGAUAUUGGGAGAAGAAGACUAAAUCCUUGCUAAUAGAACAUGUUUAAAUGUACCUACCUGAUGCCAUUUAUUCAGUAAUAUAAUAUAUAGUAGACGAUGGUAAGCUGAAGAAGCAGCACGAACAUGUCAACUUCACUGGGCACUGCUGUGCCUGUUAAUACAAGCCUGUUGAAUGGUAGGAGAGGAGGAGGUAGGAGAGGAGGAGGUAGGAGAGGAGGAGGUAGGAGAGAACACAUUCCGAACCCAAAGAGAUAAAUGCUUAUGUAGUGCUUAUGAAUGUUUUAUGGAUGGGUUAUGAAGUCCUUAUGUAGGUACCCUUCAAGUAAAAUGUUGCCUGCCUUUUUCCAUAUUCAUAAUUAUAUCUCUUAUUGACAAGAGGGUCAGAAGGACUGGGUUGUGUUCAUUGGGUACCAAACGGAAGAAAACAAAUUGGAAACGGGGUGGCACGAACUUAACUUGUUCAAUGAGAAAUGCACAUUUUUUUUCUCUUUCCGUUGCAAAACAUUUUAUUUUAUUUCAUUCUGUGCCCUAAUAAACAAGAGCUUGUUAUAAUUGGGCGCAAGUCAACAUUAUAAGUCAGUCAUUACAGAAUACAUAGUCUAUGACCAUUGGAACAAUGGAAACAUGCUACUUUACCUGUCGUUGUCAAUUUGUGAUGGGUGAAAGCGAAGGACAUUAAGACGGCACAGCAGCAUGUGCAUGUACAUUAUUGUAAAAUGUAAAACAUACUGUAUUUUCAACUCUUAUGUUGUUUUUCGGCAUUUCUUUCUUCUUUUGACGUAAGUAAUGAUCUGAAUUAACUGAAGGAAGUGUGACAGCGCUCUGUUCUACAACGUUGAACUUCUUGGUCUGAGCAAAUCCUGUUGCCGGGGAAAUGUGAUUUUAGAAAUGUUAUCGUUUAUUAACGAAUCUGUUCCGAUUGAAAUGGAAUGACUCGUAACUGCGGUUUAAUCUUCGCCAUAAGGUUAUUUUCAUAUUGUUAAAGGCUUUCCUAGCUUCCCAUGACAGUUGAAAAAUAAAGGUGUAGAACUGAA